rnacentral:lncRNA from 1 species
GUAAGGUUACAAGUCCUGAAACCCCAUUUGUGGAGACGACCCCUCUAGGGAGCUGGAGCCUGGGGCAACCUCGCUCCUUCCUCCACAGUGAAAUAGACUGAACCUCCAGCACACUGACCAGCACAGGUCUUGAAUGGUGACUCCUGGUCUAGGGCUGGUCCCUUCUUAGAAAACCCGCCUUUCGAUGAUGGAGGGCUCUGCCUGGGUAUCCAUUGGAGGGGGCAGCCCUGAGGAAGGAAUUACCCCUCUGAAAAGAGCUAAUGUCAUUCUUGUCACUUUAAAUUAACUCUAGCCAAGAGGGACUGACAGAAACAUGGAUCUGGGUGAACUAUAUUUGACUGAUAUUCUGUCAAAUAUUGCAUGGGGUUGUGAUCCGCAACUUUUCCCAUCUGCUGCUCCAGUCUGAGUCGCUGAAUGCACAAUGGCAUCAUUACCAUAUUUUGUUCAGAUUUCCCUCCAUCGGAUCAGAGCCUGUGAAUGUGAAAUGUGCCCACAGAAAAAGGCAGCCCUGGCGAG